rnacentral:lncRNA from 1 species
AUUGCCAGAUCCGUGACUAUAUAAAGAGCCAGCCUGCCCCACCCCGAAGGUUUCCCUUGUUUUAGAGAUGAUCUCUGGUUGACUUAGUACCUGACCAUUUGAUUGCUUGUUUUCCCCUCCUAGUCUUAUGUUUUAAUUUACCAAAAAAGAGUGAACCUGCAAAACCUGAGGAAUUCUACCCUCAACUCCAAUAAAAGCUGAACUGCAGCCCUGCACACCCUCUCUCUCCCCCAGACCAUGCUGUAUGGCUCCAGGAGUGCUGUGUACCUCCAGGACUUGAUUGACCACAACUAAAGAUAGUUACAAGAAGCAGAAGAAAAAGAAAAAAGACAAAGGGGACUAGGAGAAGGAGGAGAGGUGGAGGAGAAUGAAAAAGAGGAGUGUGCGGGGCGACCAGCCCUGUCGAUGGAGACUGCUGAUCCUCUGUGAAUGAGGCAUUGGGCAGAAUUUCUCUGGAAGGUGUGAUGGAACCUUCAUCAGUGCAAUUUAUUCUCAAGGAAGGGCUCUUGUUUUGAGGAUCAACUUUUAGUGACCUGAAGAACCACUUGGAAUGCUUUUUAAAAAGAAUGAUUUCUACAUUUUCUCCAUGAAUUCUGAUUGAGGAGGUCUGGAGAGAGGCCCAGGAAUAUGAAUUUGUAACAAGCCACCCAGUUGUGGCUAAUCCCAGGACCUUAAAGUUCUUUUACAGAGAAACUAGUGUCCAGAGAAUAUCAAGAAACCAAAGCUUCCCAGCCCCACCUCCUCAGCUUCCUGAUGUCAGAGUCUACCUUCCACCAUGGAGAUAAGCAGCCAAGGACACUCAUCUGAGAAAUCCUUUGUCUCCCCUGGAAGCAGCCCAAGACACAGGCCGAUGGGAAAAUGCUGACCAAGAAAUCCACAGCCCCCCUCCCCUACCUAAAACCCUAAAUAAAAACCCCUACCCGUUUCUCAAUGGGGAGCAAGCAUUUGGGGGCACUGGCCCUUGCUUUGCUCCCUCUGCCUGGCAAAGAAAAGCUUUCCUUUUCCUCCCAAGACUCCAUUCUUGUUAUCUGGAUUGGCAUCAGGAUCAGAGACUGAACUUUCGGUAACACUAAGGGCUUGAUCCCAAACAGCUGAUAAAAGAAACUAGCAUGUGCAAGAUGGCAGAGUGAGUGGUCUUCUUUGUCUCUCCCCCGUCAAAUCCACAACUAAUUGGACAUUCAUUGAUUAACAAAGGAUAUCCAGAUAGCAUCUCAAGACGCCUAAGAGUCCCAUGCUACUACACAUCGGAAGGCGGACGGACUUCCCCCUGGGAGGGAGGUGGAAAUAGGUGAAAACUCUCCAACCCCUGACCCCCAGACAGCCUAGUUCCUGCAGGAGGCUCUCUUCCAGCGGACUCCCCCCUAGCAUUGCCACACACCAAGGGUGGGAGUGUGCACUCACCAGCGGAGCGACGGUGGAAACAGGUGACAACAGCCCUACCCAAGCCCCCCGUGAUUACACCUAAGCCCAGGGGGAAUCCCCAGGGUCCUGCACCCACCAGCAGGGAAGGCCUCUGCUCGCCAUUAGCAGGGAGGCCCCGCGCAGAAUCCAGAACAAAGAGAAUCUCCUGGCUGCCCCAGCACGGCACCAGACCGCAAGCUGCCGCUGGGCUCACGGUCUCCAGCACAUGAGUCGGUGCAGGGGGCACCCGGACUUCCCGUAGACGUGCUUGGGGACACAGUUGGAGCUCCAGCAUCUGGCUCUGCAGUGCAGGGGAAGGCUCUGGGGUCCCACACCUCCCUGGCAGGGAAAGCCUCUGCCCGCCAUUAGCAGGGAGGCCACGCCCAGAAUCCAGGAAACAGGGAAGCUCCUGGUGGGCAGAUUCCCUGGCACAGCACCAGACUGCAAGCUGCUGCUGGGCUCACGGUCUCCAUCGCAUGGGUCGGUGCAGGGAGUGCCCGGACUUCCUGUGGAUGUGCUUGGGGACUGGGUGGAGCUCCAACACCUGGCUCUAUGGCCCGGGGGGAUGCUCCAGGGUCCUGCACACCCCCAGCAGGGAGGGCCUUUGCUCGCCAUUGGCAGGGAGGCCCCGCCCAGCAUUCGGAACACCAGGAAGCUCCCUAGAGCAGAAUUCCCCACAAGGCAGCAGCUUACAAGCCACCGCUAGGCCCACAGACUCUGGCCGUGUCCCAGAUGACGCAAGGGGCUCCCAGAGAUCCCAUGAGUGGAGUGGGGCAGAGUGGAGCUCCAGUGAAAUGGCUACGUAGCCCAGGGGGGAGCUCCAGGUUCCUCCAGCAGCCUCAGCAAAAGCCUCUGCACAGCACUAGUGGAGAGGUCCUGACUGGCAAUCGCAAGGCGGGAAGGCCCUGCGGCAAAAGCAGCACAGCUAGGUGAGCUAACGACAGACUGCACAAGAUACCCAUAGCUCUGCGGGGACAUAUAGUGGACAAGUGUGAUCUUGUGGGCUCUGUUAUGGACAAAGUGGUGAUUAUAGAUGAUCCUGCUCCUGGCUGAUGGGAAAGCCCACAAACAACACCGCUGCAGACCACAAGGAGGGAGCGCAUCUAAGUGGGCUGCAGCAGUAGUCACCAGCAGCCUGAGGCCCCCUUGUGAUUGCCCCCAUAACCGACGAGGGACCCCACAGGACCACUGUGACAUGAGGAGGGGUCCAGGUCCAAUGAGUAACAGCUGACAGAGUUCCUGGUUGGUGCAGUCUAAACAGCUGCCCCCCCCCCCCACACACACACCAGUCACAACCAGUGUAAGCAGCGACUAAACUCUAUCUCUAUGCGGAGGCACAAAUCCACGCCAUCAAGCAGAAUGAAAAAAUAUAUUAAAUCUCCAGAACAGAAGGAAAAUGAUAAGCACCCAGAAAACAAUCCCCAAACAACGAAAUCUACAACCUAAAUGAUGAUCAUUUCAAAACUGCCAUUAUUAAAAAACUCAACGAGUUAAAAGAGAAUUCAGAUAGACAACUCAAUGAGCUCAGGAGCUAUGUUACAAAAGAGCUUGAUACUAUAAAGAAGAACCAAUUAGAAAUACUGGAGAUGAAGAACACAAUGGAGGAGAUUAAGAAAAAUCUGGACUCUCUGAAUAGUAGGGUCGAUAAUAUGGAGGACA